rnacentral:rRNA from 1 species
ACAUGAAGCUGGAAUCGCUAGUAAUCGCGAAUCAGAAUGUCGCGGUGAAUACGUUCCCGGGUCUUGUACACACCGCCCGUCACACCAUGGGAGUCGGUAACGCCCGAAGCCUGUGACCCAACCGUAAGGAGGGAGCAGUCGAAGGUGGGGCCGGUGACUGGGGGUGAAGUCGUAACAAGGUAAC